rnacentral:tRNA from 1 species
UAGGCAGAUAGGAAUUGAACCU